rnacentral:rRNA from 1 species
UACGAAGGUGGCAAGCGUUGUUCGGAUUUACUGGGCGUACAGGGAGCGUAGGCGGUUGGAUAAGCCCUCCGUGAAAUCUCCAGGCUUAACCUGGAAAGUGCAGAGGGGACUGUUCAGCUAGAGGAUGGGAGAGGAGCGCGGAAUUCCCGGUGUAGCGGUGAAAUGCGUAGAUAUCUGGAGGAAUACCGGUGGCGAAGGCGGCAUCCUGGACCGGCAUUGACGCUGAACAGCGAAAGCUAGGGGAGCAAACGGGAGUUAGAAAACCCCAGUAG